rnacentral:sRNA from 1 species
CAUGUUCGAUCUGCUGCGGGCAGAUGAAGUGGAUGUGGCUGUCGAUGCCGCCGGCGGUGACGAUCUGGCCUUCGCAGCUGAUGACUUCGGUGCCGGGGCCGAUGAUGAUGUCCACGCCCGCUUGGGUGUCGGGGUUGCCGGCCUUGCCGAUGGCGGCGAUGCGUCCGUCCCUGAGACCGAUGUCGGCCUUGACGAUGCCCGCAGCGUCCAUGAUGAGCGCAUUGGUCAGCACGGUGUCCACCGCCCCCUGCGCCCGGCUGUGCUGCGCCUGCGCCAUGCCGUCGCGGAUG